CACAGCCCUCAUGCUUGCCAUAUGCCGUGGAUCAUCAGAGAUAGUUGGCAUGGUUCUUCAGCAAAAUGUUGACAUCUGUGCUGAAGAUACGUGUGGAAUGAUUGCAACGUUAUGCUGUUGCUUGUGGAUUUAAUCUCAUUGAUCAACAACUUUUGGAAUAUAAACAAAAGAUAUCUAAAAAUUCUCAAAAUAGCAAUCCAGAAGGAACAUCUGAAGGAACACCUGACGAGGCUGCACCCUGGGCGUAAAGAACACCUGACAUGGCUGAAAGCUUGGUGGAAAGAACACCUGACGAAUAGGAUACAGCGAAUUCCUCUUCAAAGAUUUUAGCCUGUAAAAAUCCUUUAAAAUUCAAGAGGGGGAAGAUUAAGUACAAUGAGUUCUGAGUUCCUCAUCAAAGAGCAAACAUGUCAGUAUGUUCAGCUUCUCUGUUCUUUGUUCUCCGUUUUAAAGUUUAACUUCCUCGUACGUUAUGCCUCCUUGCCCCUAGUUUCAUUAAACAACCCCCUUCUAGCUUCUAACACCUGUUUUGUCUUUAGUCAUUCUUAGUCACCUGCUCUGUCCUCAGUCAUCCUUAGACACCUGCUCUGUAACUGUCUUUCCCGCUGAAAGUACUCACCCUGGCACUCCAGCUCAUACUCCUGCUCUCUUUGAAAUAGCCCAUCUGAAUUAGCUAAGAGUGUGCAGUCCAACCCUAUCCAAUAGGGAAAAGACACAACAGUAGGGACUAGCUGUAUUAGGAAUAAGAACACUUUCCCCUCCCUUGUUCAGUAUGAUCUUGCCAUUGCUCCAUCUGCAAGAUCACUCUUUCAUAGAAGUAAAUUUGCCUUGCUGUAAAAACUUGUUGCUGGAGUGCUGACUGUUCUUUGUUUCACUGAAAAUUUAUUUUCCACAAAUUUGGGGGCCCACCCAGCAUUCCCAUUCUCCUCUGGGGGAGGGUCCAGUCCUCUCCUGUGAGGAGGCGCACCCCGCUGCCUCGUUGCAGUGGCCAUAAAGGUAAGGAAUCAAGACUCAGCUGGUGCGAUUAAUAAACCUGGGCUCUCAGCAACGUGGAAAGAAACAGGCCAGCAUCUUUGGGGAAAGGAUCUUCACAUACCGUGGCGACCAGGUAACUGUGCACAGACCGAGGUAAGAAAUGUCGCACGGGUGACAAAGUAUUUCCUUGGUGGUCAGGAUAUUCUGGAGGUUGAAAGUGUGUGUGAAUGAUCACAAGCACUACUGCUUGUGGUGCUGUUUGUGUGGAUGAUACUAAGCAUUAUUGCUGUGAGGAGUGAGUGGGUCCUAUCUGCGGUUUUUUAUUUGAAUAAAAAACCUUUGAAGAGGAAUUCAGUGUAUCCUCAUAGGGCUCAGGGCAGAUCCUGCUGUGGGGUUUAUACCAUGAUGCCAAUGCUAAGAGGGACCUAAAAUUCCUGGGAGGGAAGCAACCAGAGUGGAUGAAGCCAAAGAAGCGUGCAAGGAGCCUCCAGCAGGUGGCGUUAAAGGAUAGGGAAGAAAUCUCUAGCAUGUGGGAUUGAGCCUAACCAGGACCUAACAUGGGAAAAGCCCCAAGUAAGACAGGGCGCAAAAAAGAAGAGGAUAGAAACAAAGACAUGCCCCCUGAUAGUCCCCUGGGUCUCAUGUUAAAAUAUUGGAAGCAUAAUGAGAG
ensembl:lincRNA